ACAACUUGUCUGGCACUUGAGAUUCCAGGUACCUCACCAAAUUGGUCUUCGGGUGACUCGUGACCUCGCUGCUACUCGUAGCAAUACAUACAAUCAAACAAACAAUGUAUAUGGUAACAUUACACUAAAGAUAGAACACAGUUGCAUUAAAACAUAAAAGAUUUGGAUUGUAUAAGCUUUUGGAUUUAUUUUUUUUAUAAAAAAAACAAUUACAACUUUAUUUAUUAUUUUAUGUAAAUCGAUGCUUCUGCUAGUGCGGAUCCUAUGUGCAAUAAACCAUAUACUUUAGGUCGUGGAAAAUAAUUUUUUUGCAAGAGACAUAAAAUAGUAAAUUCGUUUUUUUUUUUGGGAAAGAACAUGGCUCUUACAAAAAUAUAGGCACGACCGCAGCUUGGACGACGUGACGUGAUUAUAUUGAAGCCAACCACACAUAUGGACAUGGGGUGUUUGAACGAUGAAGAUCCAUGAGACAUCCAGGAACGAACAGUGGCUUGCUUCUUUUCCCUACGUAUACAACGCUUUCUUCGUUUCUUCUCUACUGCACCAACGACACGCACAGCGGGUCGGAACGGCACCGACGGAGUCUUGCUGGCGGCCGGUCCAGAGGAAUCAACGGUGACCGGAUCAUCACCAACCUCAACAACAGACGGUAGCAGCACAGCCCGGCGGCGCCUUGGAAUCUGGCGGCCGGAUCUCACCGGCGACAGCGAUUAGGCGCCCCAGUAUCAUAAUCACCAACGUUCUGGAGUAUGAAUCAUGACGCAAAUAGCUUCUACUCAUAGUGGGCAAGAAAUUGAACUCGGGGAAAGAAAUCUCACCGGAAGGAACAGGGACAGACGGCCUUCAGAGACUCGACCGAGAGUUUUGGCUGUCCGGCAAUGGAGUCAGCCCUGGUAGUAGAGGCAGACCACGAUGCAGCAGCCCGGCGAUGUAGCACCCCGCAGGUGAAGGAUUCCCCGGCCACCAGGGCACCCUCCAUGUGACUCGACGACCAAACUGUCUCUACCUCUCUCUCGGCAUUUUCCUCGCUGUUUGGCCCAUGGUAACGCAGCAGAAGCCCCAGGCGACGGCAAUAGAGGCGGCCGUGCACCAGAGGAAGCGCGGAGUCGUCAGAGGGAGCCCCGCUCGGCCGCCAAGGAAGAGGAGCAGGGAUACCGGGUGCCGAGCACCAUGGAUGGGCAGGAGAGGAGCUCGGUCGAGGGGAGAGAAAUGGAGAGGAGAGGGAGGAGAGAUAAGAGAACUCGGCGACGAAGACUCCAACCCGCUCAUCUCUUCUGUGGCGCGAGGGACGAAGUUCAUAUGGCCAGGGGAGCGGCGCGCGCGCCCCGCCGGGGUCUUCGGCCGGAUUUGUUGAGCUGCCCACGAAGCACGGAUGACUGAGGGUUGUUGGGGGAAGAAGUUGUGCGUGCCCAGAUUCUAGAAGCACUAGACGAGCGGACGCACUGCCACCCAUCGGGAUUCCGUUGAGAUCUCCACGGAAUUAAGUUGGAGAAGGGAGCCAUGAGCGCUGGGCAAGCGGAUGAAUCAGACAGGCAUACCCCGAGGUCACGGGAAAAUCCAAACUGACCCCUAGGUUACCGGUGAGCUAAUCCCUGCGAGGAGGUUGGAUCGUGCGCAGCAAUCGGACCACGCGACAUUAGCGCAACUCCGCCAUGCACGGCGCUCGUUGGGAGGAAGAGGCAUAAUGGCCGUCGACUGGGUCCCGCCAAGCAGUCUGCGCAGCAUGCGUGGGAGCAUCGCGCCAAAGCAUGUGGCGGCUAGGGUUUGGGGCUAGCGUGCAUAGGAUAGCGGCAGCGCCUAGUUGGGCCGCGCAGGCGAAAGGCUAGGUGGGCCGGCACCCAAAAUUCAGCCCACGCGGUUGAAUACGGUUUUGCCUUUAUUCUUUUCCUUUUCUAUUUUUCCUAUUUCUUUCCUUUCCAUUUCAGAUCCAAAUUUUGAAUUCAAAGUUCGCAGAAGAAUCUGUACUCAUUUUAAGUAUUCAAUUUGAACAAAUCAGUGGGGUGAAUUUAUAUAUUUAUAAAUUCUAUCUUGUCUUUCAUAGUAUUUCUCUCUUGAAUUCCAAAUCCAAAUUUAGGCUUUAAACCAAAUCUUCAUCUCUUUAUUGUAUUCUCCUGUCAUUCCUUCUUGACAUUACAAAAUUCUAAUUCCAAUCUAAGAUAAAGUUUAGGAAUUCAAAUUUUUAAUACAUACUCUAACUCAAUUAUGAAGCCAUAGAUAUAUAUUUAUUUUAAUUGAUUAAAUGUUUAAAAUAUGAAACACACUCAUAUUGCUUUCUUUCUUUUUAGAAAACUAGUAUUUUGGCUGUGGGAUAAGAAGUAAAAGUUACUUUAAAAGUAAAUAUUCAUGUAAAUAAGUGCUUAUGGUGCAUCCUGUAAUGAUAUGCAUAAUCAUUUAGUUGAAUAGAAAACUUUUCUAUUUCUUCUUUUCUAAAGUAGUUCUUGGUUUUCAAAAUUUAGUCCUCAAAUUUCAACACUCAAGUAUAAUUUGAGAUCACUAACUUUGCUAUUUUAUUCCUUCAUAUAUUUAUUUUAUUAUUAAUUUUUUUUCUUAUACAGAUUUUGGCCUUACAAAUCCUACCCCCCUUAACAGAAAUCUCGUCCUCGAGAUUUGUAAGGAAAGGGUAUAUAACCAUGUUGUCUCAAAACAUAUGCACAAACAAAAAUCUCGGCAUGAUGCAUAAUUUAUUAACAAUGCAUGGGGUCACUUAGACCUUAUCAUUCCUCCUAAAAUAGUAUCAUACCAUUUACUAACUAAGGUAACAUUUGGAUCUUACAAAUAGUAAUAAUUUAUAUAUAUGUUUAUGUAGCUUGGUGGAGGUGGUGGUUAGGAAAGCAUGGGUGUAUAUAUGUAUGUCCACUUUAUUAUGUAGGAUAGAAGAUGCCUUUAAAGCAUAGACAGGUUUGGGUAAAAAAGUGUAGGGUAAGGAAAGACUCCAUCCAAGAUUUGUGGAUCUUGAUUCAUCUGAUGAUCUAGCUUGAUCUUUGAAGGCUUGAGUUGGGGCUGAAGACCAGAUUUGGCUUGACUCUUAUCCUUCCUUAACACGGUUGAUCCUUUCUUCCUUCCUUUGGUCUUGGUAUGAUCAUCCGAGUUAGGGAUAUGUAGUUAAGAUAAUUGUGGGUAGGAUAUAUUUCAUGGGGUAGGUUGGUUAGAAUCUCUGUUUUGUUGUUAGGUUGAUACAGAGGGUUUAUGCAACCAUUUGACGGGUAAGGUAGUUACAUAUGGUCAGGUAGUUGUAUAUGGCCAAGUUAGUCUGGGGCACCUAUUUAGGUUAAGUCAUGUUUAUAGAAAUAGGGUCUAAUCUAUAUCACCAGGGUUAACUAACCUGUUAAGUAAUUCAAUAUAGAUUGGGUCAUAUUAUAUUAGUUGGGUUCUGGAUUAGCUUGGUAUGGCAAGAUUAGACUAGAUAAGCUCUAAUAUUUUUUUGUGGGUUAGAUCGUAGUUGUUACUAUAGAAUGGGAUAAAUAUGUUUAUUAGGGUAAGAUGAAUCCAUAAGGAUAAGGUAGAAUCUCUUUCUUUUUUUUAGAUCAGUUAGAUCUAUUAGGAUGACAUGAAAUCUUUUUCAAGAUAGGAUGAUUCUAUUAAGGCAAUAGAGUAUCUCUUAAGAUAAGGUAAAUCUAUUAAGCUAGAUUAGGAUAAGUUAGGAUCUUUUGGGAGGAGAUGGAUUUAUGAGUGUAGGAUAGAAUCUUUUAAGAUGAGAUAGAUAUUGUUAGGCUAGAUACUUUAAUGAGAGAUAAUCUAGUUUGUCUAGUUAGUUUAUAAGUAUUAUGUAUAUGCAGAUGUAAUUGUGGACAUUACUCCACAAUCCAUCACACUCAAUCAAAGAUCCAAAUCAGACGAGUAUCAUAAGAACAGACAUUCAAGCAUGCAAAUAUUUAUAUAAAAAUAGUUUUGUUGUGGUUCCUAUGAAUAGGUCUCCUACUCCAAAAAGUUACUUUAGAUACAGGACUUCAAAGUGUGAAAUCCACAUUUGUCUUUAGAAUGAAAAGGUAAGAAUAAUCAGAGUAAAGCGGAAAUAGAUGAGAGAAGAUUAAGAAAAGAUUAGAAAAGAAUCAGAGUAGCAAAGGUAAGUAGAGAAUGGUUGUCCAGUUCUAUCUAGGUUUCGUCCUACAGUCAACAUUCCUCUGAUACCACUUCUGUCACACCCGGGUUUUAGGGGUCCAAAGCCCGGGCGCGAACAUAAACACCAGGUGUGCUGUGACCAAGUCUCACACAUAUGAUGUAUAGUGGCACAGGAUCGAAUGUCACAUCUUUACAUAUAACAGGAGUUCUAUACAAAAUAAAUAAACAAUUACAUUAUAAGGAGACAACGGUCCAGCAACCCAAAGUUGACUGGGAGACGACGGCCUAGACCACUCACGAACUCAUCACAGCAUCCUCCAUGCGCCUCAUCCUGUGGUACCUGUUCUUGACCUGUGGGGGGUGUGAGACAGCAAGAGUGAGCUCACAUACGUUCAUCGCUCAACAAGUUGUGGGGAAUAAUGUGAAUGAACUCGCCAAAGGUGGGAGCUCACGUGAAGUGUAAGGCUUACCAAAGAGGAUGGUUAGAGCUGAGCAUUGCUUUUAAAGUUGGUCAAAAUUUUAUUAGCAGUUACUAAGUACAAGUAAAUACCAACCCAAUUAAAUAGUAGAACAAAAGUAACAACAUCAACUGCGAUGCAAUGCAUAUGGCAAAUUGAAUUUAGUUCCAUAAAUUAAUCAUGUGAGGGUCCGAGCUGCUCAUGACCGUGAGCACGGCUAGUAUACCAGUUUUACACUCUGCAGAGGUUGUACCCUUUACCCACAAGUCAUGUUACCCAUCUGCCAAGGGAUCGCGACUUCCCAUACACCUCUACCGAGGAGGCGAGGCAGGGUAACACUACGAGGCCUUUACAAAGUUCCACUAGCUUCAGAAAACCCGCUACAGUUUAUAGGAAGCUCCAAUGCAGGAAUCCCUUGCAGGACCGCCAUCGCAGCAAAAUCCUCCCGAGGGCCUCCCUACACUGACCACUCCCCUACUGCCCUUGCCCCUUUCGGGUAAGGUAGUCCUCCACUAGCUUUCCUAAUUAAUCAGCCAAGGGCGUCCCAUUAUACCCUUGUGGUAGCACUGUUUUCCCGGGUGGUCGCUCCAUGUUCCAAUUAACAUAAUGAUCUUAUCAUGAACGAUAAAUAACAACGGAUAACAAAAGUAUAAUCAUGAACAUUGUAUCUUCAUACCCAAAACCACAUAAAGCACUAGCAAGUACUACCCAAAAAGUUCAGUGGUAAACAAGGUAUAAAGAUAGGCAAACUAGGGUAACCUAUUGGGUCCCAUCAAAAUUAACCUAUGCAGAUCAUUAUGAUUAAUUAGAACAUGAGUGGGUAGAAAGAAGUGAUCAAGGGCACAACUUGUCUGGCACUUGAGAUUCCAGGUACCUCACCAAAUUGGUCUUCGGGUGACUCGUGACCUCGCUGCUACUCGUAGCAAUACAUACAAUCAAACAAACAAUGUAUAUGGUAACAUUACACUAAAGAUAGAACACAGUUGCAUUAAAACAUAAAAGAUUUGGAUUGUAUAAGCUUUUGGAUUUAUUUUUUUUAUACAAAAAAAACAAUUACAACUUUAUUUAUUAUUUUAUGUAAAUCGAUGCUUCUGCUAGUGCGGAUCCUAUGUGCAAUAAACCAUAUACUUUAGGUCGUGGAAAAUAAUUUUUUUGCAAGAGACAUAAAAUAGUAAAUUCGUUUUUUUUGGGAAAGAACAUGGCUCUUACAAAAAUAUAGGCACGACCGCAGCUUGGACGACGUGACGCGAUUAUAUUGAAGCCAACCACACAUAUGGACAUGGGGUGUUUGAACGAUGAAGAUCCAUGAGACAUCCAGGAACGAACAGUGGCUUGCUUCUUUUCCCUACGUAUACAACGCUUUCUUCGUUUCUUCUCUACUGCACCAACGACACGCACAGCGGGUCGGAACGGCACCGACGGAGUCUUGCUGGCGGCCGGUCCAGAGGAAUCAACGGUGACCGGAUCAUCACCAACCUCAACAACAGACGGUAGCAGCACAGCCCGGCGGCGCCUUGGAAUCUGGCGGCCGGAUCUCACCGGCGACAGCGAUUAGGCGCCCCAAUAUCAUAAUCACCAACGUUCUGGAGUAUGAAUCAUGACGCAAAUAGCUUCUACUCAUAGUGGGCAAGAAAUUGAACUCGGGGAAAGAAAUCUCACCGGAAGGAACAGGGACAGACGGCCUUCAGAGACUCGACCGAGAGUUUUGGCUGUCCGGCAAUGGAGUCAGCCCUGGUAGUAGAGGCAGACCACGAUGCAGCAGCCCGGCGAUGUAGCACUCCGCAGGUGAAGGAUUCCCCGGCCACCAGGGCACCCUCCAUGUGACUCGACGACCAAACUGUCUCUACCUCUCUCUCUCGGCAUUUUCCUCGCUGUUUGGCCCAUGGUAACGCAGCAGAAGCCCCAGACGACGGCAAUAGAAGCGGCCGUGCACCAGAGGAAGCGCGGAGUCGUCAGAGGGAGCCCCGCUCGGCCGCCAAGGAAGAGGAGCAGGGAUACCGGGUGCCGAGCACCAUGGAUGGACAGGAGAGGAGCUCGGUCGAGGGGAGAGAAAUGGAGAGGAGAGGGAGGAGAGAUAAGAGAACUCGGCGACGAAGACUCCAACCCGCUCAUCUCUUCUGUGGCGCGAGGGACGAAGUUCAUAUGGCCAGGGGAGCGGCGCGCGCGCCCCGCCGGGGUCUUCGGCCGGAUUUGUUGAGCUGCCCACGAAGCACGGAUGACUGAGGGUUGUUGGGGGAAGAAGUUGUGCGUGCCCAGAUUCUAGAAGCACUAGACGAGCGGACGCACUGCCACCCAUCGGGAUUCCGUUGAGAUCUCCACGGAAUUAAGUUGGAGAAGGGAGCCAUGAGCGCUGGGCAAGCGGAUGAAUCAGACAGGCAUACCCCGAGGUCACGGGAAAAUCCAAACUGACCCCUAGGUUACCGGUGAGCUAAUCCCUGCGAGGAGGUUGGAUCGUGCGCAGCAAUCGGACCACGCGACAUUAGCGCAACUCCGCCAUGCACGGCGCUCGUUGGGAGGAAGAGGCAUAAUGGCCGUCGACUGGGUCCCGCCAAGCAGUCUGCGCAGCAUGCGUGGGAGCAUCGCGCCAAAGCAUGUGGCGGCUAGGGUUUGGGGCUAGCGUGCAUAGGAUAGCGGCAGCGCCUAGUUGGGCCGCGCAGGCGAAAGGCUAGGUGGGCCGGCACCCAAAAUUCAGCCCACGC
rnacentral:lncRNA from 1 species